GGUGGCUCAGUGGUAGAGUGCUUGCCUAGCAGGCAUGAGGCCCUGGGUUCAAUUCCUCAGCACCA
rnacentral:tRNA from 1 species